GAACUCUUGGUCUAAAGCUGUGCGGGCCGUCUCUAAGCCUGAGGGAAAGUCCCGGCUCAUCCUCGCCGGUCGUGGGAACAGGCGACUGAGCACGCAGAGGGAGUGAAUUCUAACGUAGCGCGUAAUGUGUAGAGUGUGGAGAACACCAGUGUGAACCCGACUUUCCGCCUGUAUUGACGCUGAGGCGCGAAAGCGUGCGAGCAAUCAGGAUUAGCUACCGUGGUUCUCCACACCUUAACGCAUUGCGCUAUUGUCGGGAGUUCCCCCCCUUAUUGGUUCAACUAUCCCCCUAUUCCCCACGCCCCGGCGAGGGGGCCCAGGGCUUACUCAACGGAAUUAGAGGGGGGCCCGCCCAAGCGUUGGCCCAUUGUUUUAUUUCAACGCAACGCGAAGACCUUUCCCAGGUCUUGACAUCCUGUGACAACCCUAGAGAUAGGGCUUUCCCCUUCGGGGGACAGAGUGACAGGUGGUGCACGGUUGUUGUCAGCUCGUGUCGUGAGAUGUUGGGUUAAGUCCCGCAACGAGCGCAACCCUUGAUCUUAGUUGCCAGCAUUCAGUUGGGCACUCUAAGAUGACUGCCGGUGACAAACCGGAGGAAGGUGGGGAUGACGUCAAAUCAUCAUGCCCCUUAUGACCUGGGCUACACACGUGCUACAAUGGACGGUACAAAGGGCAGCAAGACCGCGAGGUUUAGCAAAUCCCAUAAAACCGUUCUCAGUUCGGAUUGCAGGCUGCAACUCGCCUGCAUGAAGCUGGAAUCGCUAGUAAUCGCGGAUCAGCAUGCCGCGGUGAAUACGUUCCCGGGCCUUGUACACACCGCCCGUCACACCACGAGAGUUUGUAACACCCGAAGUCGGUGAGGUAACCUUUUGGAGCCAGCCGCCUAAGGUGACAG
rnacentral:rRNA from 1 species